UACGGGGGGGGCAAGCGUUGUUCGGAAUUACUGGGCGUAAAGCGCGUGUAGGCGGUUGCCCAAGUCGGGUGUGAAAGCCUUGAGCUCAACUCAAGAAAUGCACUCGGUACUGGGUGACUAGAGGACCGGAGGGGAUAGUGGAAUUCCCAGUGUAGUGGUGAAAUACGUAGAGAUUGGGAAGAACACCAGUGGCGAAGGCGGCUAUCUGGACGGUUUCUGACGCUAAGACGCGAAAGCGUGGGGAGCAAACAGG
rnacentral:rRNA from 1 species